GAAGGACAACAAGGAAGGCAAGGUGGUGUCCAAAAAGAGCCUGCUGCAGUGCCAGUCUCUUGCCAAGGCCAAAAUCCCUCAAGUGCUGAGUAAGUUUUUCUCAAUCUGUGAUGUCACUGUUUUUACACACUUAUAGACGUCAGAGAUGUAUAGAAUGCAUUAUGGAGUGGGAUUAUGAAGCUGCCUUUUUUUAUUUUCAUGUUCACAGAAACAUUGGAAGAAACAAGGACACAGAGGAAUCAGUACAGGUUUUAUGGGUACCUGUGUGCCUACUUUACAUCCAUAUACGGCCACAGACCAGGCCUAUAUAAAAACAUGUUGGUGAAAGAGGUGGAGGAGGCAAAAUGUGACCAGUCUGGGGUGUACCUGAUCAAUGUAAGUCUAUGAAAUACAGCUGGCUGUGUUUAUUUGUUUGUUUGCUUGGUUGGUUAUCUUUGGAAACAAUUGCAGUCGCAGGAGCGUAAUGUGUUUUUUUGUGUUUUUUCUCUGUUCAAUUUCUAUUAGGUGGGGGAACACAAAACAAAUCGGGAGUACGGCAUGGUCCAGAUGUCGCUGACAAAGGAGGAGUACAGCUGGUUUUCCGACUUCCUCAAAUUCAAGCACUGUCUCUUAGGGGGAAAGAAGGCCCAGCACUUCUUUUUCAAUUCAACAAACACUCAGAUGAAGAACCUGCCUGCCUACCUGAGGGAGGUGUGGAAGGAGAUGGGUCUGCCCGAAUGUCCUUCAUUCACUGACCUGAGGACCUCCAUUGUCACUCAUGUAAAAAACAUGCUCCCAAAGGUUGACAGGGAAAGGGUGGCCAACUUCAUGUGCCACAACAUCCAGACGGCAGACAAAUAUUAUGCCAUGAAUUUAAAUCCAACCCAAGCAAAUGAAACCAGGGCACUCUUUGAGGCUGCACUGAAGGGGGAAGAUAACACAGUCGCCGCAGAGAACCAGCCCUCCACCUCAGGAGAAAGAAAGCAGAAGGUGAGAGAGGAUGCCUCCCUCUCCGACGGGAGCACCACCCCUGAAGAGACCAAGGUGAUGUACCAGGAGUCUGGCACGUCCGCCGGUGACUCGGAAGAGGAGGAAGAGGAUGAAGAUGAGGAACAGAUGGCCAGACAACUUCCAGUAAGAUCAGCUAUUCUGACAGGACACAUUUGAUUAUCAAAAUGUACUUGUAAACUAUGUAACAGUCAAGUGUGAAUUCUGAGAUAUAUCUAAUUUCUUGUGUUUGCUCUGUCAGGAGACACCUUCCAAGGUGACCAAUCCUCAGGUGGAGAUGGAACUUACCCCAAAGAGGAAGCGGAGCAUCUGCACACGCCGCAUGGAGGUCGCCAUCAGCCCCAUGC
rnacentral:lncRNA from 1 species